CUCACAGAGACCGUACCCGAAACCGACACAGGUGGUCAGGUAGAGCAUACCAAGGCGCUUGAGAGAACUAUGCUGAAGGAACUCGGCAAAUUGCACGCGUAACUUCGGGAUAAGCGUGACUCUCAUUUGGGCAACCAGAUGAGAGUGGCACAGGCCAGGGGGUAGCGACUGUUUAUCAAAAACACAGGGCUCUGCGAAGCGGCAACGCGACGUAUAGGGUCUGACGCCUGCCCGGUGCCGGAAGGUUAAAAGGAGGGGUGCAAGCUCCGAAUUGAAGCCCCGGUAAACGGCGGCCGUAACAAUAACGGUCCUAAGGUAGCGAAAUUCCUUGUCGGGUAAGUUCCGACCUGCACGAAUGGCGUAACGACUUCCCCACUGUCUCCAGCAUAGGCUCAGCGAAAUUGAAUUCCCCGUGAAGAUGCGGGGUUCCCGCGGUCAGACGGAAAGACCCUAUGAACCUUUACUGCAGCUUCGCCUUGGCGUUAGCAGCAACAUGUGUAGGAUAGGUGGGAGGCUAUGAAACCGGGGCGCCAGUUCUGGUGGAGCCAUCCUUGAAAUACCACCCUUCUUGUUGCUGACGUCUAACCGCGGCCCGUCUAUCCGGGUCCGGGACAUGGCGUGGCGGGCAGUUUGACUGGGGCGGUCGCCUCCCAAAGUGUAACGGAGGCGCGCGAUGGUGGGCUCAGACCGGUCGGAAAUCGGUCGUCGAGUGCAAUGGCAUAAGCCCGCCUGACUGCGAGACUGACAAGUCGAGCAGAGACGAAAGUCGGCCAUAGUGAUCCGGUGGUCCUGCGUGGAAGGGCCAUCGCUCAACGAAUAAAAGGUACUCUAGGGAUAACAGGCUGAUUUUGCCCAAGAGUCCAUAUCGACGGCAAAGUUUGGCACCUCGAUGUCGGCUCAUCACAUCCUGGGGCUGGAGCAGGUCCCAAGUGUUCGGCUGUUCGCCGAUUAAAGUGGUACGUGAGCUGGGUUCAGAACGUCGUGAGACAGUUUGGUCCCUAUCUGCCGUGGGUGUACGAAACUUGAGAGGAUCUGUCCCUAGUACGAGAGGACCGGGAUGGACACACCUCUGGUGGACCUGUCGUGGCGCCAGCCGCGCAGCAGGGUAGCUAAGUGUGGACUAGAUAACCGCUGAAAGCAUCUAAGCGGGAAACUAACCUCAAAACAAGGUUUCGCCGAGAGCCGUAGCAUACUACUACGUUGAUAGGCCAGGUGUGGAAGUGCGGUGACGCAUGGAGCUUACUGGUACUAAUCGCUCU
rnacentral:rRNA from 1 species